rnacentral:rRNA from 1 species
CGCCGCGUGAGGGAUGAAGGCCUUCGGGUUGGUAAACCUCUUUCAGCAGGGACGAAAACAGACGGUACCUGCAGAAGAAGCACCGGCCAACUACGUGC